UUUCCUAUUGAAUGUAAUUUUUUUAAGUUGAUGAAAUAUUGAAAAACAAUAGCAGUGUUCUGUUAGCUUGGUGCUAGGUUUUUUUUUUCCUAUUUAAUGAUAAAUGCAGAAAUAUUUAGUUCCUCCUCACACAUACAGUCUUCUCUCCAAGGACUGGGAUCCUAUUGUGCUCCCAUUCACUCAAUUUCAAUUCCAUUUUAUUUGGCAUUCUGUUCCUUAAGGACACUGGAACAGAGAAGGCUUACAAAUUUAUAACAGUGUAUUGCUAACAAAGCUCACAAAAUCAACCAUAUCUCCAAAAGGCCAUUUCAGUCUUCCAGCAUUCCUAAGCAAAACCACUUUCAUUCAUUAUGCUGCCCUCUUUCUCCACCAAUCAGUUGCACACACAAUUGAUGUGUGUAUACAUCAGUUGCACUGUUUUUUGUAACUGUAGCACACUGGCCAUGGACAACUAGUUCAUUGCCAGUGAUAAUCCCCCAGAUUUCUUUCAAAGUUCUUUUUUUUUUUACAAUAUUUUUUCUUUCUAUUUGUAUUUCCACUUACUGUAUUCAAGGUCACUCAUUCUCAUUUUGUAAUUUUCUUUUUGUGGUUUAUGGCCCCUGUAUACAAACUACAACAAUGGCAGCAGUAAUGGCAGCUCAUAAGUAAUGAAUAAAUAAUUUUAUAUUUCGUAAUUCAUAACUGAUGCUUUCAGAAACAUUGUCUUUUGCUCAGCCUGCCAUGAUGUAACGUCAAGAAUUUGAUUAGCAUUUCCCAUACAAUUCAAUACUCGUUAUAUUGAUAGCAGAAAUCAAAUCAUAUCAUACUAAAUACCAUUGUUUGUGUUUGGAAAGUCGAUAUUUGUUGCUGUGGAUGAUUUAAGCCUUUGCUUUUUCUGUAUUUCAUUACAAACUCCGCUGGAA